rnacentral:rRNA from 1 species
CAGCCGCCGCGGGAAUACGUAGGUGGUAAGCGUUGUCCGGAAUUAUUGGGCGUAAAGGGCUCGCAGGCGGUUUCUUAAGUCUGAUGUGAAAGCCCCCGGCUCAACCGGGGAGGGUCAUUGGAAACUGGGGAACUUGAGUGCAGAAGAGGAGAGUGGAAUUCCACGUGCAGCGGUGAAAUGCGUAGAGAUGUGGAGGAACACCAGUGGCGAAGGCGACUCUCUGGUCUGUAACUGACGCUGAGGAGCGAAAGCGUGGGGAGCGAACAGGAUUAGAUACCCGUGUAGUCCCUGUCUCUUAUAC